rnacentral:rRNA from 1 species
UCUCCCCUACGGGGGGCAGCAGUGAGGAAUAUUGGUCAAUGGGCGGAAGCCUGAACCAGCCAAGUCGCGUGAGGGAAGAAGGCCCUGCGGGUCGCAGACCUCUUUGGACGGGGAGCAAGGCCGCCGACGUGUCGGCGGAAGGAGAGUACCCGUAGAACAAGCAUCGGCUAACUCCGUGCCAGCAGCCGCGGUAAUACGGAGGAUGCGAGAGUGAUCCGGAUUUACUGGGGGUAAAGGGGGCGCAGACGCCAAUGCCAGCCAGGAGUGAAAGCUCGGGGCCCAACGCCGGGAGUG